AAUUAGGAGUCGAGUGUUUGGGAAUGCAUAACAUUGGCAUGUGCACACUCUUCUCUUUAUCCACACACCCCUGUGCACUUGUGAGACAGUCAAGGUCCUUUGGGGUUGGGGGGCAGAGCUUUAUUGCAAAACCCUUUUUCCCCUUUUGCCUUUGCUGUCUACUCAAUUUAUACACACUCUAAUUAAUUUUAAAACGAAUGUAAUUGAUGUAACGCAUCUAAUACUAAGUUUCAACAACGGAUCUCUUGGCUCUCGCAUCGAUGAAGAACGCAGCGAAAUGCGAUAAGUAAUGUGAAUUGCAGAAUUCAGUGAAUCAUCGAAUCUUUGAACGCACCUUGCGCUCCUUGGUAUUCCUUGGAGCAUGCCUGUUUGAGUAUCAUGAAAUCUUCAAAGCAAACCUUUUGUUAAUUCAAUCGGUUUCUUGCUUUGGUAUUGGAGGUCUUUGCAGCUUCACACCUGCUCCUCUUUGUUCAUUAGCUGGAUCUCAGUGUUAUGCUUGGUUCCACUCGGCGUGAUAAGUUAUCUAUCGCUGAGGACACCGUAAAAAAGUGGCCAAGGUAAAUGCAGACGAACSGCUUCUAAUAGUCCAAANACUUGGACAAUUAAAUUUUUA
rnacentral:rRNA from 1 species